GUCUUAUUGAUAAAAUAGUAAGUCAACUCUGCCCAUUGAAAAAUAAAUUAAAAGGCUGCGGUAUAUUAACUGUACGAAGGUAGCAAAAUAAAUAGUUUUUUAAUUGAAAACUUGUAUGAAAGAGUAAAUAAGAUAUAAAUUGUCUCAAUUUAAUUAAAUUAAAAUUAAAUUAAAAGUUAAAAUGCUUUUAUAAUUUUAUUAGACGAUAAGACCCUAAGAAUUUAAUUAUUUAUUUUUUAUUAUUAAAUGUAAUAAUGAUAAUAAAAUUUUAAUAAUUUUAUUGGGAGGAUAAUUAAAUUUUUGAACUUUAAUUAAUAAAAAAUAUUUAUAGAUAAAAUUUUAAUGAUUAAAAUUAUGAUUGUAAGAAUAAAUUACCUUAGGGAUAACAGCGUAAUAGUUUUGGAGAGUUCAUAUUGAUAAAAUUGUUUGC
rnacentral:rRNA from 1 species